AUUGAACGCUGGCGGCAGGCCUAACACAUGCAAGUCGAACGGUAACAGGAAGAAGCUUGCUUCUUUGCUGACGGGUGGCGGACGGGUGAGUAAUGUGUGGGAAACUGCCUGAUGGAGGGGGAUAACUACUGGAAACGGUAGCUAAUACCGCAUAACGUCGCAAGACCAAAGAGGGGGACCUUCGGGCCUCUUGCCAUCGGAUGUGCCCAGAUGGGAUUAGCUAGUAGGUGGGGUAACGGCUCACCUAGGCGACGAUCCCUAGCUGGUCUGAGAGGAUGACCAGCCACACUGGAGCUGAGACACGGUCCAGACUCCUGCGGGAGGCAGCAGUGGUGAAUAUUGCACAAUGGGCGCAAGCCUGAUGCAGCCAUGCCGCGUGUAUGAAGAAGGCCUUCGGGUUGUAAAGUACGUUCAGCGGGGAGGAAGGGAGUAAAGUUAAUACCUUUGCUCAUUGACGUUACCCGCAGAAGAAGCACCGGCUAACUCCGUG
rnacentral:rRNA from 1 species